rnacentral:rRNA from 1 species
ACGGCGCAGUGACAGGGUAGAGCCCAGCACCGAAGCCUGUGGUCGUUUGGCCGCCAGGCAAUGUGGUGUUCAGGUCGUUCCGCAUAGGCACUGCUCCACCCUAAGUCCAACAAUGAGUACGGCGGUACGGACAUGGCCCAUGGAGGGUGAAAGGCCCGUGGGGGUGGAGGUCAGGCAGGCCAGUGUCGCUCUGGAGAGACCUUGUGAGUCGGGUUGUUUGUGAAUGCAGCCCAAAGUGAGUGGUAAACUCCAUCCAAGGCUAAAUACAAGCACGAGUCCUAUAGCGAACAAGUACCGUGAGGUAAAGUUGAAAAGUACUCUGAAGAGAGAGUAAACAGUGCGUGAAGCCGUUCAGAGGUAAACGGGUGGAGUUGAACUGUGAGUUCCGAGGGUUCAGCUGGUGAUUUUGAUUGGGCUUGGCCCAUGUUGGUUGGGCUCUGGGGUCUGCUUAGUUGCAGGUUCCUGCCUUCGGGUGGGUAUGCGCGAUGCACUCGUUGAGUGUUGUGCGCCCUGGAUGUCCCGGGCUAAGUCGCCAGUGCACUCCCUCGGGACGGUCACCACGACCGGCACUGCCGUCUGUCUAUUGCGGUCAAACCGUGCGUGCUUGGUCCUCGUGGCUUUGUGUGUUCGGGAUGGCAGGUAUCCUGUUGGCUUGCUCGCGGGCCUUCGGGUGAAAUCAGCUGUCUGCAAUUGGAUUGUGCGGUGUGCCGGGGACGGCGGCUUGAGGUGUGUGCGUGCGUGCCAAUCUGAUGGCGUGUCCAUCGUCAGGUAGCCUCCCGUUGCUCACCUAGCUGGGCCAGGCGGCGACUGGGACGCGUUCAUUGAUGGGCUGCCCAUAGACAAGUUUACGGGCCUACUAGUCUCUGGUGUUGCGGUAGACGAUCCACCCGACCCGUCUUGAAACACGGACCAAGGAGAGUAACAUGUGCUCGAGUCAUUGGUCGUAUCGAACCCCAAAGGCGCAGUGAAAGUAAAGGUUUGAUUUGUUCAGACCGAGGUGAGAUCCCGUCCUGUCUCACGCGUGUUCCCAGCAAGCUCGAGCGGCAGGCGCAUCUCCGGCCCGUCCCAUGCCUUAGGCAGUUGCUUUAUCGAUUGUACAGUCGGGGCGCAGCAAGAGCGUACAUGUCGAGACCCGCAAGAUGGUGAACUAUGCUUGUCCAGGUCGAAGCCAGAGGAAACUCUGGUCGAGGAUCGCAGCGAUUCUGACGCCACAUCGAUCGUCAGACAUGUAGUAUAGUGCGAAAGACUAAUCA